CCAGGAAAGACCCUUUCCCCCUUACACACCAGCACAUGCACACACGCACACCCACACCCUCCCUCCCUUUCGGCUGUCUGCCCGUGGCCACCUCAAACCCCGAGGUUCUCAUUGUGACCAACCUCCCUCAACCUGUAGACCCCCGUGCAGAGUCCAGUUGCCCACUCAUCCCGGGUGCUGGCAGAACAUGGGCCUGGAAAAGAGCACUCCAUCAUCCUGGGGUGGGUCAAAAGGAAGGACCGGUUCUCCCAAGGCACCCAGGUCUGGUGUGGCUUCCCUACACACUGGGAGCACUGCCAGGCAGCUGGAGCUGCUCCCUGCGGAGGGCAGAACUUUUCACCCCAAGCCAACCCCUCCCUGUAACAAAGGAAGUAAGAGGGUUGGCAGCCAAGCUUCAGUGUGCCCCGAGGGAUCCUACAGUAGGUAUUUUCAGUUUGGGGAAGAGCAAGGGAGAGCAAUUGAGCACCAAAUUCCCUAACCCCGCCCUGCAGGAGGGUGCUGAGUCAGUUCAGCAUCCUCUACCCAGAAAAAGUAAACACAACUGUGCAGCAAGAGUGAGGGUGGGAAUGACAGGGGCCUAAGCCUUCAGGACCUCAUGACUUCACCCCCAACAUGGGCCCUGUUAGGGACCCACUAGCACCUUGGCAAUGGUGAGGACCCAGCCCAGCGGAAACACCAUCCCCACAGGAGCCAGUCUGGAGUUGGUGAUGCUCCCUAUGUUGACAAUGGGGUUGGGUUUCUCUCCCUGACACCAGCUUCCUACAGGUCGUGUAAGUUCUGCUUUGGGGCACACAUCGCAGAGUGCCUCAGGUCAUGAAAGGGAAUGCUGAAGAGAAAGGUGGUGUCUUCCGGAGGCACACAGUACAUCUUACAGGUUACACACGGGCAGGCUGGAGCAGGACGGGGGGCAGGGCUCAGCAGCAUACCUAGGGUACCCUCCAGAGUUGCCUUGGGAAGGGGGGCGGGGCUGGAAACCAACGGGAGGGGUGACUGUCCAUCCCCUCCGACGGGAGUACUCAGGCCCAGCACCCACUUUCUCUGAUGAGCUUCCCAGUGCCUUCUAGACCAAGUUCCCUGAGGGAAAAAGCCAAACAGAUGGAAAGAGAGGGAGCAGAAAGGGAAAGCAAAGGGUCAAUGCCCUGCAGAUCGUGAUGAGCUGGCAGGCAGAGGCAGACAGAGCGCCGAGGGCAAGCCUUCUGAAUGGGUAAGGCAAAGAGAGCUGCCUGCUGAGGGGAAGGGGGAGGCUGUGAGAACGCCAGGGCAGGCACAGAGGACUCGAACACAGCUGGCCUCUCCCAGGGAAGCACUGGAGAAGGGGACCUUCGGGAAGACGAGGCCCCAGAGGAGAGGGCGUGAGAAGACUGUGGGCCCCAACCGGCCCGUGGUAGCAGAUUCAAGCCAGGAACCCUGGCCCCUCGGCUACAGGCUGACGCUGCGCUGGUGCCGACCCCCACGGACUCCGCCGUCGCUGCCCCGGCGCCCUCCACUCCGGGUUCCCAGCUCUUGGCCGUCCAGACUGACGUGGUCCGAGAGGCCUCGCAAGUGCUCCACGGAGUCGCACUUCUGCAGGUUACGAAGGGCCACGGAGUAGCGCGUCUUGGCCUGAGCUACCUGCUGCUCCAGUUCUGUCACCUUGGCCUUGUGCUCCUGCAGAGGGCAGAACAGAGCAAGGCGAC
rnacentral:lncRNA from 1 species